rnacentral:rRNA from 1 species
UACAGAGGUGGCAAGCGUUGUCCGGAUUUAUUGGGCGUAAAGGGUCCGUAGGCGGCCUAGAAAGUCGGAUGUGAAAUCCCACAGCUUAACUGUGGAACUGCAUUCGAAACUUCUAAGCUCGAGUAUGAUAGGGGCAAAGGGAAUUCCCGGUGUAAGAGUGAAAUCUGUAGAGAUCGGGAGGAACACCAGUCGCGUAGGCGCUUUGCUGGAUCAUUACUGACGCUGAGGGGCGAAAGCCAGGGGAG